UACGAAGGGGGCUAGCGUUGCUCGGAAUCACUGGGCGUAAAGGGUGCGUAGGCGGGUCUUUAAGUCAGGGGUGAAAUCCUGGAGCUCAACUCCAGAACUGCCUUUGAUACUGAAGAUCUUGAGUUCGGGAGAGGUGAGUGGAACUGCGAGUGUAGAGGUGAAAUUCGUAGAUAUUCGCAAGAACACCAGUGGCGAAGGCGGCUUACUGGCUCGAAACUGACGCUGAGGCGCGAAAGAAUGGGGAGCGAACAGG
rnacentral:rRNA from 1 species